rnacentral:rRNA from 1 species
CACGUAGGCGGAUAUUUAAGUCAGGGGUGAAAUCCCAGAGCUCAACCCUGGAACUGCCUUUGAUACUGGGUAUCUCGAGUAUGGAAGAGGUGAGUGGAAUUCCGAGUGUAGAGGUGAAAUUCGUAGAUAUUCGGAGGAACACCAGUGGCGAAGGCGGCUCACUGGUCCAUUACUGACGCUGAGGUGCGAAAGCGUGGGGAGCAAACA